rnacentral:rRNA from 1 species
AUUGAACGCUGGCGGCGUGCUUAACACAUGCAAGUCGAUCGGUAACAGGUGUAGCAAUACAUGCUGACGAGAGGCGGACGGGUGAGGAAUAUUUGGGAAUCUGCCCAUCAGCGGGGGACAACCCGGGGAAACCCGGGCUAAUACCGCCUACGCUCUACGGAGGAAAGCCGGGGACCGCAAGGCCUGGCACUGAUGGAUGAGCCCAAAUCGGAUUAGCUAGUUGGUGGGGUAACGGCCCACCAAGGCGACGAUCCGUAGCUGGUCUGAGAGGACGAUCAGCCACACCGGAACUGAGACGCGGUCCGGACUCCUACGGGAGGCAGCAGUGGGGAAUAUUGGACAAUGGGGGAAACCCUGAUCCAGCGACGCCGCGUGGGUGAAGAAGGCCUGCGGGUUGUAAAGCCCUUUCGGUAGGGACGAAAGCUCCUGCUCUAAUAAUGCAGGAGGUUGACUUAACCUACAUAAGAAGCACCGGCUAACUCUGUGCCAGCCGCCGCCGUAACAC